rnacentral:rRNA from 1 species
AACGAACGCUGGCGGCAUGCCUAACACAUGCAAGUCGAACGAGACCUUCGGGUCUAGUGGCGCACGGGUGCGUAACGCGUGGGAACCUGCCCUUAGGUUCGGAAUAACUCCCCGAAAGGAGUGCUAAUACCGGAUAAUGUCUUCGGACCAAAGAUUUAUCGCCUUUGGAUGGGCCCGCGUUGGAUUAGCUAGUUGGUAGGGUAAAAGCCUACCAAGGCGACGAUCCAUAGCUGGUCUGAGAGGAUGAUCAGCCACACUGGGACUGAGACACGGCCCAGACUCCUACGGGAGGCAGCAGUGGGGAAUAUUGGACAAUGAGCGAAAGCCUGAUCCAGCAAUGCCGCGUGAGUGAUGAAGGCCUUAGGGUUGUAAAGCUCUUUUACCCGGGAUGAUAAUGACAGUACCGGGAGAAUAAGCUCCGGCUAACUCCGUG